GCUGCAACUCGCCUACAUGAAGUUGGAAUCGCUAGUAAUCGCGAAUCAGAAUGUCGCGGUGAAUACGUUCCCGGGUCUUGUACACACCGCCCGUCACACCACGAGAGUUUACAACACCCGAAGUCAGUGGCCUAACCGCAAGGAGGGAGCUGCCUAAGGUGGGGUAGAUGAUUGGGGUGAAGUCGUAACAAGGUACC
rnacentral:rRNA from 1 species